UACGUAGGGGGCUAGCGUUGUCCGGAUUUAUUGGGCUUAAAGGGUGCGUAGGCGGCUCUGUAAGUCAGUGGUGAAAUACUCCAGCUUAACUGGAGGGGUGCCAUUGAUACUGCAGGGCUUGAGUGGAGUCGAAGUAGGCGGAAUUGACGGUGUAGCGGUGAAAUGCGUAGAUAUCGGGAGGAACACCUGUGGCGAAAGCGGCUCACUGGACCACAACUGACGCUGAUGCACGAAAGCUAGGGGAGCAAACAGG
rnacentral:rRNA from 1 species